CCCACACUCCGCUUCGCAGCUGGGCCCCGAGCGAGCUCCACGCCGCCGGCCGGGAGUCCGGGGCUCACGGGUUCAAAGGGCCGCGGCCCCGAGGGGAUGCCCUCCUCGCUGUGCCCCGGGGGGCAGAAGCGGACCGCAGGGCUGUGGGACCGGCCCGGGCCACGAUUGUAUUAUACUCUUUUGUCCCCAAAUGAAAAUGGAGGCUCCAGCCAUACUUCCAACAAUGGCUUUUUGGAUGUCUUGUUCAGAAGUUCAUAUGACUUUUGAUACAUGGGUUGUAGCAAAAAGUGAAAUUUUAGAGAAUACAUUACAAUUUUAAGAAAAAAAAAGUUUAAAAAGUGGAGCAGAUUCCAUAAAAAAAGAAGCUAAUUUUAAACUGAGAUGCCUUUAUCCAGGGGUUUGUCACGGAUCUUCCACAUGAUAACCUCAGAAUUAACAUCAACUCACUCCAGUACUCUUGCCUGGAAAAUCCCAUGGAUGGAGGAGCCUGCCCUGACUCUGUAAUUUUAACUUUCGAAAUCUCUCGUCAUGAGUGAGUCUACCCUGCACUCAAUUUCUUGUCCUGCUCUGGAGCUCUGCCAUCCCUGAACCACAUACUUGCAGGUGAGAAAUAGAGACAGUAACACAGAUGAAGAUGUAUUAUUCUCCUCCAUAAUGCUGUGGUGCUGCGCUCUUUCAUAUCUAUCUUCUCUGCACACAAAAAGGGGAAAUUCAUGGAAGACAACAAAAAGUUGCUUUAAAAAAUUUUUAUCUAGUUCAUAUCCAAAUACAGUGCAGUAUUCUCUUUUAUAACAUUAUACACCCUGGGAUUUUUUUUUAUCCUAAAAAAAAUGAUCUAACGGGGCUUCGACACAUCUUUGUUCUAAUUUCUGCAUCCCAUGGAGGGGAGUGGUUAAGCCCUUCUUUUUAUUUAAAACACUAGGCAUCUAUUUCUUUAAAUAAAUGGAGAUCUCAAGUAUUAGUUACUCGUGAAAUCAAAUGAUAAUACAAUAUCUAACUACUCAAGCUCCACAUUUUUCUCUAGAUUUUUGCCAGGAUACACCUCAUCUCCACCCGCACCCCCAAAUAAUAUUAUUUCUAGUGUCUCAGUUUUAUAACGCCACUGUCAAGUUGGACUUAUCUGAUAGCAAGAAAACUUGUGUAAGACUUUCAAACCUUAAGUGAAAAAACUGUAUCUUAACAAAACAUAUUUUGUCAUUUAUUUACUGAGGUAUAUAUGAGAGAGACAAGAUGCUUUGUGCUCGUUGAAUAAAUUGGCUUUGAAAUUGUUCAUUUAAAUCAUGGAGGCAGGACCCAGAAAGACCAAAAAAAAAAAAAAAAAAAAACCCACACCAAAUUGGAGUACAUACUGAGGCAAGGAUGAUUUUAAUUUUGCUUCACUGAAUGGUGUUUCCAUGAGGAGGCUAUGACAGAGGAGGAAGAGGAAAAAGAGAAGGGGAGAGGCCAUGAGAAGGAGGUUUGACGAACCAGGAGUGCCUCUGCAGUGAUGCAGUUUUGCCCUUUCUCUCACGGUCUCCCCCCUCCUUUCUUCCUUCCUUCCUUUGUCUGUCUCUCUCUUCCUAUUUUUUCCCUCUUUUAUUUCCAUCGAAGAUUACUGAGCACCUACCACAUGUACGCAUGGUGCUGGGUUCUGGGAUACAAGAGUAAAACAGAAAUAGCGUCUAAACUCAGAGGGGGAAAACUGCAGUCAAGAAGCAGUUGCAUGAAGUGCCUGAGAAGUCAUCGUCCAGGAAUCGGGAGCAUGGGUAAAGAGCUUUCCGAGAUGUGAAGACCUCCUGUGGGGAGCUGUGUUCAAACUGAUGCUCAAGGGACGCGCAGAAGCUAGCCAGAAGAAGACGGAGUUAGGAAGAGAAAAGGUCAUCGGUGAAACAGACGGAGCUCGUGGCAGACAAGCUGAGAGAAGUCCAGGUGGGCAGGAGGGCUGGGUUGCUGCAGGGCAGGGUUCCAGGAAAGAGUUCACUGGUGAAGAAGGACACCAGGGCUUGGGGGGGU
ensembl:lncRNA